rnacentral:rRNA from 1 species
GAUGAACGCUGGCGGCGUGCCUAAUACAUGCAAGUCGAGCGAACAGACGAGGAGCUUGCUCCUCUGACGUUAGCGGCGGACGGGUGAGUAACACGUGGAUAACCUACCUAUAAGACUGGGAUAACUUCGGGAAACCGGAGCUAAUACCGGAUAAUAUAUUGAACGGCAUGGUUCAAUAGUGAAAGACGGUUUUGCUGUCACUUAUAGAUGGAUCCGCGCCGCAUUAGCUAGUUGGUAAGGUAACGGCUUACCAAGGCGACGAUGCGUAGCCGACCUGAGAGGGUGAUCCGCCACACUGGAACUGAGACACGGUCCAGACUCUUACGGGAGGCAGCAGUAGGGAAUCUUCCGCACUGGGCGAAAGCCUGCAGGAGCAACGCCGCGUGAGUGAUGAAGGUCUUCGGAUCGUAAAACUCUGUUAUUAGGGAAGAACAAAUGUGUAAGUAACUAUGCACGUCUUGACGGUACCUAAUCAGAAAGCCCCGGCUAACUACGUG